rnacentral:rRNA from 1 species
GACGAACGCUGGCGGCGUGCUUAACACAUGCAAGUCGAACGGAAAGGCCCUGCUUUUGUGGGGUGCUCGAGUGGCGAACGGGUGAGUAACACGUGAGUAACCUGCCCUUGACUUUGGGAUAACUUCAGGAAACUGGGGCUAAUACCGGAUAGGAGCUCCUGCUGCAUGGUGGGGGUUGGAAAGUUUCGGCGGUUGGGGAUGGACUCGCGGCUUAUCAGCUUGUUGGUGGGGUAGUGGCUUACCAAGGCUUUGACGGGUAGCCGGCCUGAGAGGGUGACCGGCCACAGUGGGACUGAGAUACGGCACAGACUCCUGCGGGAGGCAGCAGUGGGGAAUAUUGCACGAUGGGCGGAAGCCUGAUGCAGCAACCCCGCGUGCGGGAUGACGGCCUUCGGGUUGUAAACCGAUUUCGCCUGUGACGAAGCGUGAGUGACGGUAAUGGGUAAAGGAGCACCGGCUAACUACGUG